GCUCUGUGUACCGCGAUGCSGGCCCCGCAGCUUAGGCUCCAGAGCGCUUUGUAGGCUAACAGAGUUGCCCCUCCUGCCAGAAUCGCUUUCAGAGGCGGAAGACCCGGCGCGUGGAGCAGCUCCUGCACACCCAAGCGUGCUCGUGGCCAGGGCGAUAACCCGGGCAGCAUUAGCUACUUCCUGGUGCUGGUGGGCCAGGAUUACUUACUAUCUCCAGCAAGCUGAAACAUCUGAAUGCCUAAAUCUGACCCCAGGCCCUGGGCUGAGGAGUUCAGUAGUAAGACCAGAGGAUGGAUGAGACUUUGGAGAGCUGCACAGGCAUACAAACCAAGCUCCGAAGUUGUCAACUCCAAGGCCUCUGUCAAAGAACUGGUUCAGAUGGAAUCUGAAAUCUAAAAGGCACUGGUGAAGAAAAAUUCUACCUUCACUGCCUAGGCCUUAUGGAAGGUGGAAGUAAGUGCAUCAGAAACGACCCAGCGUCUAAUAAACUGAGGAUGAUGAAGGAAAGUUAUUUGAACGGAAUUGUUCGUAGUUGGAGUGAAACUGCACCUAGAAUCACCUUCCCCGGCAGCGCUGCGUCCUGGAUGGGCUCUGUCUGCGGCGGUCCGCGCUGAAGGAAAGCACGUUCGCGG
rnacentral:lncRNA from 1 species